rnacentral:rRNA from 1 species
CCUACGGGAGACAGCAGUGAGGAAUAUUGGUCAAUGGACGAGAGUCUGAACCAGCGAAGUAGCGUGAAGGAUGACUGCCCUAUGGGUUGUAACCUUCUUUUAUAUGGGAAUAAAGUGUUUCACGUGAGGGGUUUUGUAUGUACCAUAUGAAUAAGGAUAGGCUCACUCCGUGCCAGCAGCCGCGGUAAUACGGAGGGUCCGAGCGUUAUCCGGAUUUAUUGGGUUUAAAGGGAGCGUAGGUGGAUUGUUAAGUCAGUUGUGAAAGUUUGGGGCUCAACCGUAAAAUUGCAGUUGAAACUGGCAGUCUUGAGUACAGUAGAGGUGAGCGGAAUUCGUGGUGUAGCGGUGAAAUGCUUAGAUAUCACGAAGAACUCCGAUUGCGAAGGCAGCUCACUGGACUGCAACUGACACUGAGGCUCGAAAGUGUGGGUAUCAAACAGGAUUAGAUACCCUUGUAGUC